GUUGUAUAGUCAAGUAAUUAAGUGCAUGUGGUGGAUGCCUUGGCAGUCAGAGGCGAUGAAAGACGUGAUAGCCUGCGAAAAGCUCCGGGGAGGCGGCAAAUAUCCUUUGAUCCGGAGAUGUCUGAAUGGGGGAACCCACCUACUUUAAGGUAGGUAUUGCAACAUGAAUACAUAGUGUUGCAAGGCGAACGAGGGGAAGUGAAACAUCUCAGUACCCUUAGGAAAAGAAAUCAAUUGAGAUUCCCUCAGUAGCGGCGAGCGAACGGGGAUCAGCCCAUUAAGUUAUGUGUGUUUUAGUGGAACGCUCUGGGAAGUGCGAACGUAGAGGGUGAUAUUCCCGUACACGAAAGGGCACACAUAAUGAUGACGAGUAGGGCGAGGCACGUGAAACCUUGUCUGAAUAUGGGGGGACCAUCCUCCAAGGCUAAAUACUCCUGACUGACCGAUAGUGAACCAGUACCGUGAGGGAAAGGCGAAAAGAACCCCUGUGAGGGGAGUGAAAUAGAUCCUGAAACCGCAUGCAUACAAGCAGUGGGAGCACCUUCGUGGUGUGACUGCGUACCUUUUGUAUAAUGGGUCAGCGACUUAUAUUCAGUAGCAAGGUUAACCGUAUAGGGGAGCCGUAGAGAAAUCGAGUCUUAAUAGGGCGUUUAGUUGCUGGGUAUAGACCCGAAACCAGGCGAUCUAUCCAUGAGCAGGUUGAAGGUUGGGUAACACUAACUGGAGGACCGAACCCACUGUCGUUGAAAAGCCAGGGGAUGACUUGUGGAUAGGGGUGAAAGGCUAAUCAAGCCUGGUGAUAGCUGGUUCUCCCCGAAAGCUAUUUAGGUAGCGCCUCGGACGAAUACCAUAGGGGGUAGAGCACUGUUUCGGCUAGGGGGUCAUCCCGACUUACCAAACCGAUGCAAACUCCGAAUACCUAUGAGUACUAUCCGGGAGACAGACUGCGGGUGCUAACGUCCGUAGUCAAGAGGAAAACAAUCCAGACCGCCAGCUAAGGCCCCAAAAUCAUAGUUAAGUGGGAAACGAUGUGGGAAGGCAUAGACAGCUAGGAGGUUGGCUUAGAAGCAGCCACCCUUUAAAGAAAGCGUAAUAGCUCACUAGUCGAGUCGGCCUGCGCGGAAGAUGUAACGGGGCUAAAACUAUGUGCCGAAGCUGCGGANNAUGCUGGAGGUAUCAGAAGUGCGAAUGCUGACGUGAGUAACGACAAAACGGGUGAAAAACCCGUUCGCCGAAAGACCAAGGGUUCCAGUCCAACGUUAAUCGGGGCUGGGUGAGUCGACCCCUAAGGCGAGGCCGAAAGGCGUAGUCGAUGGGAAAAUGGUUAAUAUUCCAUUACUUCUGUGUAAUGCGAUGAGAGGACGGAGAAGGCUAAAUCAGCCUGGCGUUGGUUGUCCAGGUGAAAGGAUGUAGGCAUGUAUCUUAGGCAAAUCCGGGGUACUCUAUGCUGAGAUCUGAUAGCAAGCUGUACUUGUACAGCGAAGUGGUUGAUGCCAUGCUUCCAGGAAAAGUCUCUAAGCUUCAGUUACACAGGAAUCGUACCCGAAACCGACACAGGUGGUCAGGUCGAGUAGACCAAGGCGCUUGAGAGAACUCUGCUGAAGGAACUAGGCAAAAUGGUACCGUAACUUCGGGAGAAGGUACGCUGUUGUUGGUGAUGGAACUCGCUUCCUGAGCUGACGACAGCCGCAGAAACCAGGCCGCUGCAACUGUUUAUUAAAAACAUAGCACUCUGCAAACACGAAAGUGGACGUAUAGGGUGUGAUGCCUGCCCGGUGCUGGAAGGUUAAUUGAUGGGGUUAGCGUAAGCGAAGCUCUUGAUCGAAGCCCCAGUAAACGGCGGCCGUAACUAUAACGGUCCUAAGGUAGCGAAAUUCCUUGUCGGGUAAGUUCCGACCUGCACGAAUGGCAUAAUGAUGGCGGCGCUGUCUCCAGCAGAGGCUCAGUGAAAUCGAAAUCGCUGUGAAGAUGCAGUGUACCCGCGGCUAGACGGAAAGACCCCGUGAACCUUUACUGCAGCUUGACACUGAACUUUGACCUUACUUGUGUAGGAUAGGUGGGAGGCUUUGAAGCUGGAACGCUAGUUCCAGUGGAGCCGUCCUUGAAAUACCACCCUGGUAAUGUUGAGGUUCUAACUCUGUCCCGUGAUCCGGGACGAGGACCGUGUCUGGUGGGUAGUUUGACUGGGGCGGUCUCCUCCUAAAGAGUAACGGAGGAGUACGAAGGUGCGCUCAGCGUGGUCGGAAAUCACGCGUAGAGUAUAAAGGCAAAAGCGCGCUUAACUGCGAGACCCACAAGUCGAGCAGGUACGAAAGUAGGUCUUAGUGAUCCGGUGGUUCUGUAUGGAAGGGCCAUCGCUCAACGGAUAAAAGGUACUCUGGGGAUAACAGGCUGAUACCGCCCAAGAGUUCAUAUCGACGGCGGUGUUUGGCACCUCGAUGUCGGCUCAUCUCAUCCUGGGGCUGAAGCAGGUCCCAAGGGUAUGGCUGUUCGCCAUUUAAAGAGGUACGCGAGCUGGGUUUAGAACGUCGUGAGACAGUUCGGUCCCUAUCUACCGUGGGCGCUGGAAAUUUGAGAGGAUCUGCUCCUAGUACGAGAGGACCAGAGUGGACGAACCUCUGGUGUACCGGUUGUGACGCCAGUCGCAUCGCCGGGUAGCUAUGUUCGGAAGGGAUAACCGCUGAAAGCAUCUAAGCGGGAAGCCUACCUCAAGAUAAGAUUUCCCUAGGACUUUAUGUCCUCUAAAGAGCCGUUCGAGACUAGGACGUUGAUAGGUUGGAUGUGGAAGCAUAGUGAUAUGUGAAGCUGACCAAUACUAAUUGCUCGUGAGGCUUGACUAUACAACACCCAAGCAGUUG
rnacentral:rRNA from 1 species